AGAGUUUGAUCAUGGCUCAGGAUGAACGUUGGCGGCGUGCCUAACACAUGCAAGUCGAACGGAAAUAGCAAUAUUUGAGUGGCGCACGGGUGAGUAACACGUAGCUAAUCUACCUCAAAGCGCGGGAUAACGUGUCGAAAGACAGGCUAAUACCGCAUAAGCUCACAAAAAGUAGAGGAUUGUGAGAAAAGGCGCAAGUCACUUUGAGAUGAGGCUGCGGCCCAUCAGCUAGUUGGCGUGGUAAAAGCACACCAAGGCGACGACGGGUAGGGGACCUGAGAGGGUGACCCCCCACACUGGGACUGAGACACGGCCCAGACUCCUACGGGAGGCAGCAGUGAGGAAUAUUGCACAAUGGGCGCAAGCCUGAUGCAGCGACGCCGCGUGGGUGAAGAAGGUUUUCGGAUCGUAAAACCCUUUUCUGUGUGACGAGCAAGGACGGUAGCACAGGAAUAAGUCUCGGCUAACUACGUGCCAGCAGCCGCGGUAAUAC
rnacentral:rRNA from 1 species